GCAAGUCGAACGGAAACGAUAAGAGCUUGCUCUUAGGCGUCGAGUGGCGGACGGGUGCGUAACGCGUAGGAAUCUGCCUGAUAGUGGGGGAUAGCCCAGAGAAAUCUGGAUUAAUACCGCAUAAUCUCCAUGGAGUAAAGAGGGCCUCUAUUUAUAAGCUUUCGCUAUCAGAUGAGCCUGCGUAAGAUUAGCUAGUUGGUGAGGUAAAUGCUCACCAAGGCGACGAUCUUUAGCUGGUCUGAGAGGAUGAUC
rnacentral:rRNA from 1 species